UUUUUUUUUUUUGCGUCAUGUCAUACUUCUCUGUCGUUGCCACACUUCUAACCUGUUUUGUGUUUGGACUAAUGCACCAGGCACGGAACUUCGUCCUUGAAACGCUGUCCAUCCUCCUACCGUGUGUCUGUCCACCUUUCUAGUGUUACAAUGAAAUACAUCACAUCUCUACUUCUGCUGGAGUUGAUGUAUGUCACAGUACUUCCAGGUCUUAAUGCAGGACAAAUCAAAGCUCAGCCUGAAGUGACUGGAUACGUCGGCCAUGAUGUCACCCUGCCUUGUCCACUCAUCAAAAAUAGAGCAGAAAACAUUUCUCAAGUUGAGUGGAAGCUCCAACAGCCAAACUGUUCAGAAAUCUCCAUUAUUGUUUUUAUUAGUAGAGAGCAAUUUACUGUUAAAGAUACAUUUCUGAAGGACAGAGUGGAGAUUUCAGAACAAUCUCUGAUCAUUAGAGAUGUGAAAAUGAGAGACGCAGGGUCCUACACCUGUAGCCUUUCAGCCUUUCCUAGUGGUAUAUUGGAAGGAACCACCACCCUUGUUGUCCUAGAUGGGACACAUUUAUCAUCAGGUGAGAUUUCUGCUAUCGUGAUCUCUGUCCUGCUACUGUCAGUGAUCCUGUUAGCUGUAGCUUACCUCGUCUUCAUCAAAAGACCGGCUUCUUUUGUCAGACAGCAGGUCUUCAUUGAUACUGAUGGUCCAGUGAGGGAUGUGGCCAGGCCGUCUUUUAUUGUGAAAGAGCAGGAUUUGGUCUAUUCUGACGUCAAGUGCAAACCGAAAAGAGUCGCUGAUCCUUUCUCCAAUGACAGACACACACAGAGCAUGCAUGUUGAUGAUGUCACGUACUCCGAGGUCCUGGUUUCAAGUAGGUUCUAAAUGAGAUCAAAUGUAUGCUGCAGUAAUGCUGAAGGACUUUUCUUGGACUCAUGGAGGACUUCAGAAAAAUGCUCUUAAAGCAGCUGUAUGUAAGUUAAUGUGUUCCCCGCAUGUUGGUGUCAUUAAGUAGAAUCUCAGCAUCCUGAAAGCUUUUAACAAAUUAAAACCUCUUCAAACCAAACACAACCUUUUUGUCCUCUACGGAAUCACAGCCGCUGUUUAAGAUCACAGGAAACAUUAUACUGUAUCUAUGUAUUAUCUAUUCAACCUUAUGUAAACACUGAGGAAUUAUUCAGGACAUUUCCUCAUUUGAAUAAGAACGAUACUGUACAAAGAAUGAAUACAUACAAUAUUUAUAAAUAACAGGUGUAAAAUGACAAGAGUGCAGUUAAAACUGGUGUCAUUCUUUUUAGGUUUACCUUCAGGGUUUAGUGUUUCAAUGUGUUGUAAAAUGUUUCAUGUGUGCUAAUAUUUUUAAAUCAGCGCUAAAUACAAAGUACAGCUGAGGCUGAGAGGAAUGUCUAAAGCUUUGCAGGUCAUUUGUCAAAGAAAUGUAAAUGAUAGAAAAAAAAAAUCGAAGCUUAGAGAAACGGAUGGGAAAAGAUGAUUAAAGAUCAAAGUUUUUUUUCAGUACAUGCUCUGGGCACUAUGAAUUUCUGUAGUGAAGUCAAUCCGUACAGUAGACGUCAAGAUAUUUGUCAGAGUAAGUGUCGACAUAUUGAUGGCUCUAGAGAAAAAGUCACACGUCUCAGUUUGAACGACAUAACGUUUCCUCUGCAGAGCCUUUCAAGCGUGUAUGAUGUUAACUAAGAAUAGGCAACAACUAGCAACCCCAAAGAUGCUUUUAAUAUUAAAAGUGGAAGUGAAAAACCUUUCUUCCUUCUUUUCCCCAUGCCUUGCUGUGUGGUGAGACAUUUGAGCAGACCUCAGUUGCUACAUGUAACAGCGAGGUUGUAAUAGUUUUGAAUGUUUUAGUAUUUUCCUUUCAUUUCUUUUGAGUUUUCGUUGUCAAUUUUAGUUUAGUUUAUUUGUUGUUGUUUUUCAGAUUAUUUUUAGGCUUGUUGACACUGUAUUGUAAUGGGUAGAGUGCAGGAUGAGAGAGUGGGGAGUGACAUGUGGCAUAGUGCCCGGGGUUGGAGUCAAACCCGGGCUGCUGGCUUCAGGGACUAUACAACCUCCGUAGGCUACAUGGGGCAUGUGGUUUAAUGCUACAGUCUGUCUAGCGCACCAGUUUCUGUUUAGUUUUAGUUUUUCCUGAUGCUGCUUUGUGAAUGUAUUACUUUGUUGUAUGUGAUACCUGUCUGGGGUGAGACUCGAAAGGGCCACAGGAUACAUUGUGUGAUAAAAACUCAAAAGCAUUUAGAAAAAUCUAUUCAAACAGGCUACAAAAGAUGAAUAUCCAAGACCAUCCACGAAGGACAAACCACAUGUGUCAAUCAGUGUUUGGAUUCAGUAUCCGCACAACAUACUCAGAAUCAGUUAUCAAUUUUUGGUAAGCCUCGUUUUUAUUUUUGUUAAUGAAAAUGUUUAUGACAUUCUAGGUUGUGUUCCUUCAUUCGGUUUUUGUUAAUGAUAAUAACUUCGGCUCACAGCUCAGCUUGGCACAGACGAUCUCCGGCUCAAUCAAAUAAAACAGCAAACACCCGAAUAUAUCCGAGCCAUCAGUGCAUCAUUCUGCAUGAGAAUGUAAUCAUGUAAUGAAGACUGUUUUAUUGAUGUAUCAGGUAAAUAAGCUACUUUAUCGAUCUGCCAAAGUGUCACAUUAACUACUUGUCACACAGACAGGUGCAGUUCCUGUCUCAACAUUAUUACCAUGCUAGUAGAGCUCAUCACUCACAGUUUUUGUUCCUCUUUCAUUGUCUGAACGUCAAAGGAGGAAGGUCAAAAAGGAAGAUGAAAUUUGCACACAAAUUGACCCUAGUGUUGCAUUUUAAAAAAGGGCCAGAGCUGCGGGUGUUUGGGGAAUUCAAAAGGGACUCUAAAUGUGGUCAUUUUCAUGAUGGCCAUGAUAUACUUUUUGUCUUAAGUAAAUUGCUGUGUGCAUGUGAUCCUCAUAACGGGUGAAGUGUUUAUCAGUCAGAGAGGAUGGUUGGAAUUAUUGUGAAUAUUCUCUUAUGUCUCUUAUGUUCUCACUUCUUCUUUCCUUAUCCUGUCUUUUUCUUUGGAUAAAAAACAAGAAAUACUUAUUAUGAUGUAAUACUGUAUAGAUUUAAAUGCACAGACACUUCUCAAUAUUGUUUACUCUGUACUCUUGUCUGCUUACAGUCCUUUCUGCAGAUCAAUGUUCAGUGUUGAUUUCAGAAUACUGUACGCAGGUGUUGCAGUCUGAGCGAGUCAACUGUAAAAAGGUGACAAACUAUGUUUUGCAAAGUCUUACAUGAUCAUGAUCCAUGAAUGCUAACAGUCACUUUCUAUUUUCAUAGUUUACAGCAGCAUUUACUGGCAGUGAGAGGCUGUGGGUGUGAAAUUGUGUCUGAUGCUGGGUUGAGAUGCUAACGCUUGUACGUUGGUGUUAUGUUUCAUUUCUGUUUCAAUUAUGAGGCUUAAAUUGUCUUAUACUAAAAGUCAGUUAUUUAAAACUUUGAUUUCAGUUCAUGUAAGAAAUGCAUUUCAGUCUUGUUUUUUUAAAUCAAAUGCACAGACCUGUAGAUUGUUCUCACUUUAUCUUUCAAACAUAACUGUUUCGUUUGUGGUUGUUGAUGUGGGAUAAAGUUUUACAUUUUCACAGACCUCUCCCUUGUCCAUGGUGCAUCAUUUUCUUCUUGUGCUGCAGAGUUCUGUCAUGACAGGAAGCAGAUCAGAAAGAUAAGAAAGAAUAGUGUUUUGAGGUAACAGAUGUCUUAUCAGUUGAUCAUACAGUAUACGUGUAAGCAAUUCUUUUCUUUAAAAAAGCAUUGGCAUAUUUCUCUGUUACAACAAAUGAGCCUCACAAUCUGUCAGGUGGUCUGCUGUCAGUCACAUGUUGUGGUAAAUUGCUGGACUGAAAUUAUUUUUAUAAAAUCCUCACUUUUAUGUUGAGACCUUACAAGUUGUCAGGCAUCAUUUCUUCUUUUAUUCAACAACACUGAAGCCCUUCUCUGAACACUUUCAACAUAUGAAACACACCUCAUGUGCAACAGGAAAUUUUGUAAGACAGGAAAUCAAUGAGGCCGGUGGAUUGCAGUUUGAAGAAGACACAACUGUUAAAACACAAAGAUGUUUUCUUUCUGUCAGUUUGUUGAACUCUGCUAUUGGGCACAAUGAAAGUGUGCAGCCGAUCACUCCUUCUGUGGCUCAUUUACAUCACAAUCAGAGGUAAGACAAGACACUACAUGUUGGAUAUUUAUGAAAUUCUGAGAAUGGCGAAGAAGUUUUGAGAUAUUUUACGAUAGCAUUACAGUCAACAUGAAACUUAAAAUAUACUGAACUACAAGCCAACUUCUGCAUUCAAAACUGACAUUAGAAGGAUUUAAAACAAAGUAUGAGCUCUGAUGUGUUGUGAUCAUUGUGUUAUUACUAAUACAUUAAAGAGCUCAUGUGCUUGGAUAUGUUCAACUGGUUAAGUCAGUUGUACGUAUCUGCAUAGUUGGAUAGUGUACUCUAUAAAUGAUCAGCCUUCGUCCCUAAUGUAACUCAUAACAUGGAGCAAACCUAAAAAAAAAAAAGGCUCCAUUGAUAUGAAUUAUAAUUACUAUGCUUUUUUAAAUUAAGUUACUCAAGUGAAGUUCAAGAAUCUUCAAACAGUAAGUACAGCUCUGCAUGUGAUAUUUUCACAACUGUUUUUUCUGACAGGUCUUAAUGCAGGAGAAAUCAAAGCUCAGCCUGAAGUGACUGGAUACGUCGGCCAUGAUGUCACCCUGUCUUGUCCACUCAUCGAAAAUAGAGCAGAAAACAUUUCUCAAGUUGAGUGGAAGCUCCAACAGCCAAACUGUUCAGAAAUCUCCCAUUAUUGUUUUUAAUAGUAGAGAGCAAUUUACUGUUAAAGAUGCAUUUCUGAAGGACAGAGUGGAGAUUUCAGAACAAUCUCUGAUCAUUAGAGAUGUGAAAAUGAGAGACGCAGGGUCCUAUACCUGUAGCCUUUCAGCCUUUCCUAGUGGUAUAUUGGAAGGAACCACCACCCUUGUUGUCAAAGAACCAAUGUUGACGCCGGUAUCGCCGAUGUUAUUAACAAAGCUGAUUGUUGCUGGUGUGUUUUUCCUGAUAGUAGCGACCAUAGCAGCCACAACUUGCUGCAUCAUCAUCAAAACAAGACGUAAGGAUGUGGUCGAUCAUCAUGUCUACACUGACAUUGACAUGUAUCAGUAUUAGUUUCAGUUGCCUUGAUAGUAGCUCUUCUGCAUUUCAGAUACAGACGGUCCAGUGAUGAGUGACUGAAGAAGAUGAGCUCACAGUUUGACUGAGAAUAUGUCUUUAAAUUGUAGAUUAAACUUUCGAUGUUGUGUUGUUUUGCCAGUUUGCCAGUUCUACUAUUUCCAGGCGUGGAUUCACUCACUUUUAGAGAUUAUUUAAAGAAGCUUGUCUGUGCUCAUGAUUGAUAAUCAAAAAUCAUGUCAAUUAUAAUCAAGAAGCAAGAUACCAAAUUCAA